rnacentral:lncRNA from 9 species
GUAACCUACAGCGCCUGCUACAUCUACUGUCCCCAUAGCUGGUGGCUGUCUGCGAGCAGUUUGGGAAAUGAAACUGGUGAUGUGUAUUGGGACAUUGAUCCGGUGUGAGCAGAAGCAGUUCAUGGGAAAGUCAGAGAGCAUGGAGCAGAGGAGGCCAGGAGAAUGCUGCCAUCCAGAAGGAGCAGAAAUGCUGGAUAUAGAGCCAGACUGCCCUUCUCCGUCUCCCCCUUGGGUAUGUGAUCUGGUAACUACCCUCCCACACGAUCCGGCCCUCUCUUGGUUUCUUGUCUUCUGGGAAGUUGGAAAUCAGAGGCCUCUAAUGCCCUGGCAGAUGGUGGAGACACAAGGUUGAAGGAGCCUGAGUCUUGAAUAACUGCUUGAAAGAGAGUCACAUGGGAGGGCUGUCUGACCAGAAACAUCCUCACUGAACUAUUUCAUGAGUGAUCAUAAACUCUUUGUGACAAGCACUGGCAUGCUGGAGGGCACUGUUAGCGCAGUGAACCUCCCCUGACUGGCACAGGUGGAUUUCCCACUGCUGGUGGCCACAGAGCGUGUCCACAUCUGCUUCCCAACUGAGGCUUAGCUGAGUUGCUAUCUAUGGGUUCUGCACCCAGAGAUGGAACCAACUGUGGAUCAACAAAUAUUCGAAAAAAUUUCCAGAAAAUUCCAAAAAAUAAAACAUAAAUUUGCCACUCGGGAAACUAUUUGUAUAACAUUCAUGUAGUACUUAUAACUAUUUACACAGCAUUUAUACUGUAUUAGCUAUUAUAAGCCAUCUAGAGAUGAUAUAAAUCAUAUGAGAGGAAGUGUGUAGGUUAUGUGCAAAUACUGCCUCUUUUACACAGGGACUUGAGCACCCACAGAUUUUUGAUAGGAGUCCUAGACCCAAUCUCCAGCUGAUACCAAGGGACAACUGUGGCGUUAAUCUGCUAUUAUUACUUUUGUUAUUUUAUUUUUUAAACAAAAACAUAAUGUAUAUCCUUUGACUAUAGAACACAAAAAAUAUAAGAAAAUAUUUGUUGCAUUGGGGGAAUCAGUUUUUUAUUUAUUUUUUUACUACAUAAACUUUUUAAAUACAUAAACUAUUGAGGUUUCAGAACAAUAUCUGCAUGUAUCUACCUGUAACAGAAAAAUAAAUUUAUUUUAACUUAUUUAGUUAAAAUGUUCUCUUGAAACUAGUAAGUUUUAUUUAAUUAGAAAUUUAGUUUCUAAUUUCAAUUAGAAGUCCAAUUGAUUCCCUUUAUCUUAAUCUAAUCAAUUUAUAUCAACAUUACAUCUGACUAAAUCCCAAGAAUAUUGAGCCUGUGUAGUGAAAAGCAGGAGAUGAAGUUGCUGCUUAUCCUGUUGGCACCUACAUUUUCCUGUUCACCUUUCUUACCUUUCUUUCUUGUGAACAAUGACGUCAUUGCUAGAAUUUAUCUGUUUCCAGUACCUGCUGUGUGAUUCGAAUGACCCUAUAGUGUGAUAUUUUGUUUUGUGUUCUGAACUAAAAAAGAGUUGAUACUAUAACUCUUGUUUCUUUAAUAAAGUGGCUUGAUAUUUAAUACAUUAAACAUAUUUUG